rnacentral:rRNA from 1 species
GACGAACCGUGCGAACGUUAUUCGGAAUCACUGGGCUUAAAGGGCGCGUAGGCGGGCCCGUCAGUCAGGGGUGAAAUCCCACGGCCCAACCGUGGAAGUGCCUCUGAUACUGCGGGCCUCGAGGGGGAUAGGGGCGUGCGGAACUCAGGGUGGAGCGGUGAAAUGCGUAGAUAUCCUGAGGAACACCGGUGGCGAAAGCGGCGCGCUGGAUCCCUUCUGACGCUGAGGCGCGAAAGCCAGGGGAGCAAAGCGGG